rnacentral:rRNA from 1 species
CUUGACCUACGGGACGCAGCAGCGAGGAAUAUUGGUCAAUGGGCGGGAGCCUGAACCAGCCAAGCCGCGUGAGGGAAGAAGGUACAGCGUAUCGUAAACCUCUUUUGUCAGGGAACAAAGGCGGGGACUAGUCCCCGGAUGAGGGUACCUGAAGAAAAAGCAUCGGCUAACUCCGUGCCAGCAGCCGCGGUAAUACGGAGGAUGCGAGCGUUAUCCGGAUUUAUUGGGUUUAAAGGGUGCGCAGGCGGCUUGUUAAGUCAGCGGUAAAAGGCCGGGGCUCAACCCCGGCGAGCCGUUGAAACUGG